rfam:Triticum aestivum genome assembly, contig: Triticum_aestivum_CS42_TGACv1_scaffold_081396_1DS
AGUCUACUCCCUCCGUCUCAGAAUUCUUGUCUUAGAUUUGUCUAAAUACGGAUGUAUCAAGUCACGGUUUAGUAUUAGAUACAUCCGUAUCUAAAUCUAAGACAAGAAUUUUGGGAGGGAGGGAGUAAUAU